rnacentral:rRNA from 1 species
GGGGAAUAGUCAUUCUUUACAAACAAAUCCAAGACAAAGAAGUCAUCUGGUUAAUUCCGAUAACGAACGAGACUCUGUCCUGCUAAAUAGAGUUAACGUCAUUUUUUUUGCGUUAAUUUUUCUUCUUAGAGGGACUGGUGGCGUCUAGCCCCRCGAGAUUGAGCAAUAACAGGUYUGUGACGCC